UGGGUAUGCUUCUGAUGCUGU
rnacentral:siRNA from 1 species